rnacentral:rRNA from 1 species
AUUUUUAGCAUACCUGCCCAGUGCGACAUAUUACUGUAAACGGCCGCCCUAGCGUGAGGGUGCUAAGGUAGCGAAAUUCCUUGCCUUUUAAUUGUAGGCCUGCAUGAAUGGUUUAACGAGGGUUAAGCUGUCUCUAAGUUUAUAAGUUGAAAUUGUAUUAAAGGUGAAGAUACCUUUAUUUUGAAGUUAGACAAAAAGACCCCGUGCAACUUUGAAAAUUAACUUUAUUAAAAGGUGAGAGAUUUUUAGGUGGGGCGCCUAGAGAGCUAGUUCUAACCUCUUUUACUGAGUUAUUAAAACUUUCAAGUCUUGACCCGGUUACACCCGAUCAUAGGAGAAGUUACGCCGGGGAUAACAGGCUAAUCCUUUAGUAGAGCUCGUAUUGGCUAAAGGGAUUGGCACCUCGAUGUUGAAUCAGGGAUGAUACCUUUGAGGCGUAGAAGCUUCGAGAGUGGGUCUGUUCGACCUUUAAUACCCUACGUGAUCUGAGUUCAGACCGGA